GCGCGCGAACACAGGUUCCCCGCAACCGCACGCACGCCACGCAGGCGCGCGCGGGGUCCCAGCGCCCACAGCCCAGCGCUGUUACAGCUGCCAGCCACUGCCGCGGGCGCCAGCAUCACCGUCGCAGGUUUCGCAUAAGACUCCGACUCCGGUUUUUGCCUUGUGCCGUCUUAGGGCGAGCUACCUAAAUGUGUAGCCAACAGAUUUCACCCCAGGGAUGACUGGGAAAGGAGGAAGCCUUGGCAUUCUCAGAAGGCUGGUUCUCAUUUCAGGAGUGCAGGGAAGGAAAGCUUUGGUGUAUGUGGACCAGAGGCUCCCAGAGUCCUGGCCCCUGGAAACAACGUGUCAUCCGAAAACAAAGACUCAUGCUGGUCUCUUGGCUUUAGAACCGUGAACAGAUUGGCCUCACUCCAGUGAAAAGGAAACAAUUUUUCAGUGAACACUUAAAUACAUGCAUCUAAAUUUCAACGACUUAACAAUUCACAAGAAUUGCUUUCCCACCGGUUCUAGACGCUUCCGAUUGCGUCUUCGACACAGCCGGGUCAGCAUUAUCGAUUUCGAAAAACUAGAGUUCUACAGUAUCACCAUGCUCACGGAAGAAAGUCCUACUGCUUUCCUAGAAAGUUGAGCUUAUCAGGAUUGGAAUAUUGUCCCUCUGAGUCCCUGUAGAAUUAUAUAGGUGAAGUACAACCCGUUUUCAGGGCAGGACUUUUGGAAGUUACCCAGUUCCGUUUGUCUGAUGUUUUUGCCCUCCCAGCAUGAUUUAACUUCUCUUUAGCUCUGUAAUUUAAGUGGGAGCUUCUUGAACCAGAAGCUUGGUGUGAUGGUAGGACUCCUUCACACAUUCUAUAGAGCUCUAAGUGUUAUUUCCCCUGGGGGAGACUAUUAAAUUCUUAAACACAA